rnacentral:lncRNA from 7 species
GAGACACCAAACGGAAAACCACUCAGGGCCUGUGUUUCAGCUGUGGAGAAGCAUUCCGAAGUGGCCCAACAACUCAAAGGGAAUAAAUCUUCUGUCCUAUCUGCAUGGACUAGCAUCUCAGAUACCAGAAAUGACAUGGACGUACCCAGCUGACUGCAAGCAGGCCGGGUGAAAAGCAUCACAGUUACCUAGAAGCCCUCUGACAAGGUAUCUUGUUAAAAGAACGCACACACAUGAAUAUAUACUUAAGGGACACGUAGGAUAGCAUACGUAUUUACUUUCUGAAAUCUUUUACUACCUUGGAAGCAUUUCCACACAGGUUUACAAGUUACCUGCUUGGUACUUGCAUGCCACACCAGAGCUUACUCUUAAGAGAAAGGCAGAUAAUGAAUUAAGUCCCUGAACAGUUCCCUAUGAAUCAUAAGAAGGUCCAUUUCCUUUUCGUGCUGAGGAAGCAGUUUACUUGGAGUUGAUUGAAGACAGUGGAAUUCUACUGGGAGGUAACAAGACAUGUCAAGAGUGUAUUAUGAAUCAGCACCUGUCAUAUGUAUUAACGUCUAGGGACACAUCUGGAAGAUUGUCUUCAACACUGACCAAAACUCAAAAGACUAAGUUUUAACAAUUUCCCUGCAGAUCCACAUCUUGGCAUUUACAACAGCUGCUAUGUGGAAACAAUAAAUCCUGUGUCUUUUGUCAUGAGU